rnacentral:rRNA from 1 species
GAGUUUGAUCCUGGCUCAGAUUGAACGCUGGCGGCAUGCCUUACACAUGCAAGUCGAGCGGCAGCGCGGGGGCAACCCUGGCGGCGAGCGGCGAACGGGUGAGUAAUACAUCGGAACGUGUCCAGUAGCGGGGGAUAACCUCUCGAAAGAGAGGCUAAUACCGCAUACGACCUACGGGUGAAAGCGGGGGACCGCAAGGCCUCGCACUAUUGGAGCGGCCGAUGUCGGAUUAGCUAGUUGGCGGGGUAAAAGCCCACCAAGGCGACGAUCCGUAGCUGGUCUGAGAGGACGAUCAGCCACACUGGAACUGAGACACGGUCCAGACUCCUACGGGAGGCAGCAGUGGGGAAUUUUGGACAAUGGGGGCAACCCUGAUCCAGCCAUGCCGCGUGAGUGAAGAAGGCC